GACGAACGCUGGCGGCGUGCCUAACACAUGCAAGUCGAGCGGAGCCAUCCAAACAAUCCCUUCGGGGUGCGUUUGGUGAAGCUUAGCGGCGGACGGGUGAGUAACGCGUGAGUAACCUGCCCAUAAGAGGGGGAUAACACAGAGAAAUUUGUGCUAAUACCGCAUAUUGAAUAUUGAAGGCAUCUUCAAUAUUUGAAAGAUUUAUCGCUUAUGGAUGGACUCGCGUCCGAUUAGCUAGUUGGUGAGGUAACAGCUCACCAAGGCGACGAUCGGUAGCCGAACUGAGAGGUUGAUCGGCCACAUUGGGACUGAGACACGGCCCAG
rnacentral:rRNA from 1 species